UCAAUUAUAUGUUUAUAAAUAACUGUAAGGAUAGUCAAAAUUUAUUUGAAAAGAGGCUUGAGUUGAGUCGUUGAGCGGCCCUUCUCUUAGAAUAAGGUCUCUAAUCUCUAUACUUCUCCCAGAAAAAAAAAUUUAAAAAAUAGUAAUAAUAAUAAUUGCAAUUUCAGGGAAUUUGCAGUGUCAGUGCAGCGGCAACUUUAUUGUAAAUUAAGCCAAGAAAAGAAGCUGAGCCU
rnacentral:lncRNA from 1 species